ACGGGUGAGUAAUAUAUCGGAACGUGCCCAAUCGUGGGGGAUAACGUAGAGAAAUUUACGCUAAUACCGCAUACGAUCUAAGGAUGAAAGCGGGGGAUCGCAAGACCUCGCGCGAUUGGAGCGGCUGAUAUCAGAUUAGGUUGUUGGUGAGGUAAAGGCUCACCAAGCCGACGAUCUGUAGCUGGUUUGAGAGAACGACCAGCCACACUGGGACUGAGACACGGCCCAGACUCCUACGGGAGGCAGCAGUGGGGAAUUUUGGACAAUGGGCGAAAGCCUGAUCCAGCAAUGCCGCGUGCAGGAAGAAGGCCUUCGGGUUGUAAACUGCUUUUGUACGGAACGAAACGGCUCUUUCUAAUAAAGAGGGCUAAUGACGGUACCGUAAGAAUAAGCACCGGCUAACUACGUGCCAGCAGCCGCGGUAAUACGUAGGGUGCGAGCGUUAAUCGGAAUUACUGGGCGUAAAGCGUGCGCAGGCGGUUAUAUAAGACAGUUGUGAAAUCCCCGGGCUCAACCUGGGAAUUGCAUCUGUGACUGUAUAGCUAGAGUACGGUAGAGGGGGAUGGAAUUCCGCGUGUAGCAGUGAAAUGCGUA
rnacentral:rRNA from 1 species